CGUUAGCUCAGUUGGUAGAGCAGUGGACUUUUAAUCCAUGUGUCGAGGGUUCGAGUCCCUCACGGC
rnacentral:tRNA from 1 species